AAAAUUCCAACUGCCGCGCCCUGCAUGUUCUGAUACGUUAGACCACUGUGUGCCCACAGCAGGCAGGGGUAGUGCCAUGCUGGGCUCUUACUGAGUCAUUGCUGUCUCAGGCCACUUAAUAUACUGACGUCUUAACAAAUAUACAAUUUGAAGAAAACUACGCACAUACCUCUACGGAUCUUUCUCUUCAGGUGACCAAGUUGUCCCGUUUACGUAUCCUGUUUUCAACAAUAUCACAGGAGGACUGUGCAGCAUUUAUAUUUCUAAUUGAAAAAUAAAGAGAAGAUAUAAGAGAAUGAAGAUAAACAAGGUCAUCUUCAGUUUCAAAGCUCCAGAGAGGUGGGUUUGCACUUUGGCCUGUGUGGAGUCUGCUCAUUUGCACCAUGUUUAAAUGGCCUUUCCCCUACAUCCUAAAGACAUACCUGUGAGGGUUAACUGACGACUCUACACUGGUCUGUGAGAGUGAGGGUGUUUUGUGAUGUACAGCUGCCCCAUCCAGCACUUGUUUCUGUCUUGUCACUAAUGCCAUCUAGAUAGAUACUGGCUCUCCAUGACCCGGAAAUAAAAAAUGGAAUUAAAUGGAUUUUUUUUAUCUUUAUUUGACAGGAUCCAGGAUGUCUUAUAAAAUUAAAAAUAGUUAAUAUGUUUAAUAUAUAAGGGGGCGUGUGAGGAAUGACUUUCCUUUUGAUAGUAAGAGGACAUUAGAACAACUUUGAUUGUCGGUUCUAUUCUCCAAAAUAAAACCUAAGUUACAUGUUGUGUACA